rnacentral:rRNA from 1 species
GAUGAACGCUGGCGGCGUGCCUAAUACAUGCAAGUCGAGCGAACGGACGAGAAGCUUGCUUCUCUGAUGUUAGCGGCGGACGGGUGAGUAACACGUGGAUAACCUACCUAUAAGACUGGGAUAACUUCGGGAAACCGGAGCUAAUACCGGAUAAUAUUUUGAACCGCAUGGUUCAAAAGUGAAAGACGGUCUUGCUGUCACUUAUAGAUGGAUCCGCGCUGCAUUAGCUAGUUGGUAAGGUAACGGCUUACCAAGGCAACGAUGCAUAGCCGACCUGAGAGGGGGAGGGCCCACAGGGGAAAGGAAACCGGGCCAAGCCCCAUAGGGGGGGAACCAGAGGGAAUUCUCCGGAAAGGGGGGAAGGCUGGAGGGCGCAGGCCCGGGGAGGUAAGAAAGUUUUUGGGAUCUAAAAACUUUUUUAUUGGGAAAAAAAAUAUGUGAAAGAAACUGUGCAAAUCUGGAGGUUCCCUAAUAAAAAAACCCGGGCAAACACCGUC